rnacentral:rRNA from 1 species
CCUACGGGGAGCAGCAGUGAGGAAUAUUGGUCAAUGGCCGGAAGGCUGAACCAGCCAUGCCGCGUGAAGGUCAGUGCCCUAUGGGCGUUAAACUUCUUUUGUGCGGGAGCAAUAAUGGUCACGUGUGGCCAGACGAGAGUACCGUACGAAUAAGCAUCGGCUAACUCCGUGCCAGCAGCCGCGGUAAUACGGGGGAUGCAAGCGUUAUCCGGAUUUAUUGGGUUUAAAGGGGGCGUAGGCUGUGAGGUAAGUCAGCGGUGAAAUGCCCCCGCUCAACGGGGUGAAGUGCCAUUGAUACUGCCUGGCUGGAAUGCGGAUGCCGUGGGAGGAAUGUGUGGUGUAGCGGUGAAAUGCAUAGAUAUCACACAGAACACCGAUUGCGAAGGCAUCUCACGAAUCCGCGAUUGACGCUGAUGCACGAAAGCGUGGGUAUCAAACAGGAUUAGAUACCCCUGUAGUC